AGUUAAGAUAGUACGGCAUACGGCGGAUACCUAGGUGACAGACGGCGAUGAAGGACGUAGUAAGUUGCGAUAAGCCUCGUGGAGCUGCUAAACAAGCUGUGAUACGGGGAUUUCCGAAUGGGGAAACCUAGCUGAGCAAACCUCAGUUAUCUUGCAGUGAACACAUAGCUGCAAGAGGCGAACGGAGGGAAGUGAAACAUCUCAGUACCUCCAGGAAAAGAAAUCAACCGAGAUUCCCUUAGUAGCGGCGAGCGAACGGGGAACAGCCCAAACCGGGGAGAUACGUUUUCCCGGGGUUGUGGGACCUCAACAUGGUAUCCCUGCAGAUAGUGGAACGGUCUGGAAAGUCCGGCAAUACAGGGUGACAGCCCCGUACACGAAAUCUAAAGGGGACCUAGAGGUAUCCCGAGUAGCCCGGCCCACGUGAAAGGCUGGGUGAAUCUGGGAGGACCACCUUCCAAGGCUAAAUACGUUCUGUCAACCGAUAGUGAACUAGUACCGUGAGGGAAAGGUGAAAAGAACCCCAAUGAGGGGAGUGAAAUAGAACUUAAAACCGUAUGCCUAUAAGCGGUAGGAGGGCUAUGUUUCAGCUUGCUGAAAAAUGCCUGACCGCGUGCCUUUUGCAUAAUGAGCCGGCGAGUUACCGUCUGUGGCAAGGUUAAGCCGAACGAGGUGUAGCCGAAGCGAAAGCGAGUCUGAACAGGGCGAUUUAGUCACUGGCGGUAGACCCGAAGCGAGUCGAUCUAUCCAUGGCCAGGGUGAAGCAUUGGGAAAACCUUUGUGGAGGCCCGAACCGGGGAGGGUUGAAAACCUCUCGGAUGAGCUGUGGAUCGGAGUGAAAGGCUAAUCAAGACUCGUGAUAGCUGGUUCUCCCCGAAAUAUAUUGAGGUAUAGCCUCGUGUGAUGGCGCGUGGAGGUAGAGCACUGAAUGGGCUAGGGUGCUGAAAGGCUUACCAAACCCAAUCAAACUCCGAAUACCACGUUGCUUAGCACGGGAGUCAGUCGGUGGGAGAUAAGUUCCAUCGGCGAAAGGGAAACACCCCAGAUCAUCAGCUAAGGCCCCUAAAUCCGGACUAAGUGUUAAAGGAUGUGAGACCGCAUAGACAGCCAGUAGGUAGGCUUAGAAGCAGCCACCCUUUAAAGAAAGCGUAACAGCUCACUGGUCGAUGCGAUCCUGCGCCGAAAAUGAAUCGGGGCUCAAGUCCGGUGCCGAAGCUAUGGGUUGUAUAUAUUUAUACAGCGGUAGGGGAGCGUUCUCAAAUGGCUGAAGGGUUACCGAAAGGAGGCCUGGACGUUUGAGAAGUGAGAAUGCCGGCAUGAGUAGCGAUAAAAGUGGUGAGAAUCCACUUCGCCGAAAACCCAAGGGUUCCUGGGCAAGGCUCGUCCUCCCAGGGUAAGUCGGGACCUAAGGCGAGGCCGAAAGGCGUAGUCGAUGGAAAACAGGUUAAUAUUCCUGUACCACCUUACAUGAGCGAAGGGGUGACUGAGAAGGGUAGGUCAGCCGGGUGAUGGAUGUCCCGGUUCAAGCCUGUAGGGUGAGGGAUAGGCAAAUCCGUCCCUCAUAAAAGCCUGAGAGGUGAGUACGAGAGGCUUUAAGCCUCACAAAGUGACUGAACCCAUGCUUACGAGAAAAGCCUCGUAGUGUUGAUUGUAAGGUGCUCGUACCCUAAACGGACACACGUGGGUGAGUUGAGAAUACUAAGGCGCGUGAGAGAACUCUGGCCAAGGAACUCGGCAAAUUGGCCCCGUAACUUUGGAAUAAGGGGUGCCCGCAUUAGGUGAAGGCACUUGCUGCUGGAGCCGAAGGUGGUCGCAGAGAAAUGGCGGUGGCGACUGUUUACUAAAAACACAGGGCUCUGCUAAGUCGUAAGACGACGUAUAGGGUCUGACACCUGCCCGGUGCCGGACGGUUAAAGGGAAGGGUUAUCUUCGGAGAAGCUCUGAACUGAAGCCCCGGUAAACGGCGGCCGUAACUAUAACGGUCCUAAGGUAGCGAAAUUCCUUGUCGNNNNNNNNNNNNNNNNNNNNNNNNNNNNCCUGCAUGAAAGGUGUAACGAUUGCCACGCUGUCUCGGCCAGAGACUCAGUGAAAUUGUAGUCCCGGUGAAGAUGCCGGGUACCCGCGGCAGGACGGAAAGACCCCGUGCACCUUUACUAUAACC
rnacentral:rRNA from 2 species